rnacentral:lncRNA from 1 species
AUAACUCGAAUGAUAGGACACUGAAUUAGGUGUUGUCUACGUACCACUGAUGCUUUGUUCUCCCGAGCCAUAUAGGCAUUUAGAUCACUCAUAAAUGUAGGGACAUGGGCUUCCAGUGACAUUGAUUUAUUAGAUGCUGCUCUUCCCAAGAAAGCUGCUCAUUCUGAGGAUGCGUUAACAGUUAAUGUACGCUAAUCAUGUAUGGAAACAAAGACUUACCAAUGCAGGACUCCAGUACUGAGGUGAUCAAUGCAAGCAGUAGCUAGCUAUCAAUGAGGAAUAUUAUAGCCAAAGAUUGAGAGACUGCCAGAUAUUCUAUGAUGGCAAUGUUGCGUAUGACAAAUUACAUCCAGAUCAACACCUCCAUGCUGAUCAAAAAUCAAAAUAUGAUUCUGGCAUCACAGAAUAACAUGCCUGCUGAUGUCAGAGGUCCAUUGUAUGUGAGAAAACUCUGAAGAGAAGAGAAGAGAAGCCAACACCAUUUAGAAGAGAAGCUAACAAACAGAGGCCUGGGAAAAGAUCUAUGGAUAACAAGCCAAUGUUUGAAGAGAAUUGGUCAGUGUUGAGAAUGAGAAAGUUCAACAUAAUGUAAUUCCCCCUUGGAUACUACAUUAACAUGUUAAAUUAAAAUGGAACAUCCAAAACUUCUCAGACUGAAGAAGCACCCUUCUUAAAGCUGCAUCAAUAGAAAAACCUAUUGAAACAGACCACAAAUUCGCACAUAGCCUACUUCUUUGCAUAUGUGAUAAGCAUAGGAUUCUGUUGUGUAAUCUUGAAACCCUGAAGACCUUGCAUGGCAAGUGUACCCUGCAUCUCAUCUCCAUACUCCACGAAAGCAAUUCCAGGCUUUGCAUCUACCAUUCUAACCUCCUUAAAACCAGGAUACUGACAGAAGAGCAUUUGCAGCAUCAUGGGAGUAGUCUCAUGGGGAAGAUUCUGAACAAACAGUAUGUUGUUUGGCAGUGCUGGUGCUUCAGGAAUCAUCGACUUAGCCCCUCCAGGAUAAGGCAAUUGAGAAAGCUGCAAUUUUUUUUUUCAUGUAAAAGUAAAUUAGGAAAACUUUCAUUAAAAAAAAAAGAAAAGGAAAAAGUAUUAGAAAAUCAGAGCGCACACCAAGCAAUAAUAUAUGUAAAAGACAGAUUAUAACCAUCAGCACAAGCAUGCAUACAAACACACCAGGAAAAAUCCUAAAUUUAUCAGAUAGCUUAUCAGCUCAAAUUAUUAUAGGUUGCAACAAUGACCUAGAUUGUCGACUUCCAUUUGAGGCAUGGUUCUAUGAAUCAUUCCUUUUUCCUUUCAACAUUCCUUUAAUAUCAAAGAUGCUGGUAAGCUGGUUCAAUUAAACAGCUCGUUGCUCACUUUCAAACAACUGUAGCCGACCAACCGAGUACUCGAUCCAACCCGAUGAAAAGCCAGGGUGAGUAUGGGAUCUAGGUAAAAUAUUUGAAGUGGGUUCGGGUUGGAUACGAGUAAUGGUAUGCCCCACCCAGAAUCCAACCCAAUAUAACCUUAUCUAAAUCCUCCUUUUCAAAGUUAUAAUUAUUUUAUAAAAUUUGCAUGAUGAGUUUGUUAUCCAAUCCGACCUGACUAGAGGUGGGUAUGAGUAUGGGGUUUUUAAUGGAGCGGGCAUAGAUAUUGGCCAACCGACCCAUACCUAAUCUGUUGCCAUCCCUACUUUCAGACGACAAUGCAGGGAUUAUUUUUGAUGUUCAACCAUAAGCAUCAAAAAAUAAACUGGCCAUUCAGGUCUGUUACAUUAAAUUUCUUAACAAGAAAAAAAACAAAUCAGAAAAUUGGCAGUAUUUAUAUGAGCUAUGAAGGACCCAACUUAACAAAUACUUUGGCGAACAUCCUUUCCCAUCAAUAGAAAUUCUGCCCAUAUCGAUGCCUGUCACCCAGGCAUGGGGCCCUUUACUCCCUAACACAGAUUACUGCACGUGCUAAAUCUUGUUCAGAUAGAGGAUUCACGAAACUGGUGCUAUGAUAUAAUUAUUGAUGUUGUAUUUCCUAACAGGUGUUAUAUACCACUAUCAGGGUAAAUAAGCAACAUCUUUUUUGCCCCCCUCGCUAGAACCAAGCUUGGUAUCUGCAGCACAUACAUGUAUAACACUUCUUGUCUAAAAUAAUACAAAUAUGUGAAUACAGCUCGGGAAUGGUGCUAUACAGGUAAUUUCUUGUAACACAAUAUAUAUCCUUAUAAUCGCAAUGCCUAUAAUAUGUGCAAUAAAAGUCAGUUUUUGGGAGUAAAUUUGCAUGUGGGUUGGGCAUGUGAGCAGUGUAUAAGCCAGAAGUGUAGGAUCUGCCACCAGAAAACCACAUGUUUUUCAUAUCACAUAACAUGGUCCGAAGCAAGGUUUGCCAUACCGUGCCGAAUCAGCCGGUACACCCCAUCUCGUACCGGACCGGUGGGGAACCGGCACGAUUCGGCCGGUAAAAUCGGUACACCGGCUGUACCGAAGAAAAAAGAACGGAAAGUGAGAAAGAGAGAGAGGGGGGAGGAGAGGGAGGGAGGUGGGAGCCGUCGGAGGCUGGCGGUGGCCGGUUGCGGCAGUCGGAGGGCUUUCGAGCCCCGUAUCAUCCGAUAGGACUUUUAAGAGAACAAAAAAGAGAGAGAACGCUCGGAAGAGGGGUGGAGAACCUACCGGACGGACGGUGCCUCCGUUGCGAGGCUCCCGGUGGCCGGCGAGCCGACGCCGACGGUCUGAGGGCGGUUAAGCGGGCGGAGACGCGGAGCCCCUCCGCGGCUCCGCCCCCUUCUUUUUCAAAACAGACAACGUCUGUUUCGAUUUUUUUUUUUUNUUUUUUUUANNNNNNNNNNNNNNNNNNNNACUUAUGAAGUCGGCAACUGGGUUGCCGACUUAAGAUUUUUUUUUUAAAAAACAAAAAUCGUGAAGCCGAUAAAUCGUUUGCCGACUUCACUUAAAACUAUGUUUUUUAAAAAAAAUUACGAAAUAGGGGCGAUGCCCCUGUUUCAUGCAUGCGGCGCCGCGCGCAUAGACUGCGCCCUCCGAUGGCCACGGCGGCCAGUCGGAGGCCGUCUGGCGGCCCCACUGGCUCCUUCCCCUCCCUCUUUUUUUUUCCUCUUUCUCUCUCUAUUUCUCUCUUUUUUCUUCCGGUUCGGGUCGUUGGUUUGGUACGGUAUGAAACCAUACCGAACCGUACCGCCGGCCGGCCGAAACGACCAGCGGUACCGGUUCAGCAUACCUUGGUCCGAAGUUUGAGAACACUACUUUGCUAAGCUUCUCCACAAAAGACAUGAAACAGAUAAAUAUCACAUUUAUCUUUGAACCAAAUCUACCAGCCUCUGGAAAAAUCAUUUGUGACUUCAAUGUGAUAGGCAAAGGUGAUCAUAUUAUAAGUAAAAAGUCAUAACAUCUUGUUAUUUAAUUACUAGUAGCUAAAUAUUAUUUUAAACAGUUUGGAUAUAUCUGUUUUAAGACUUCUUAACUGCACCAUAUAAUUUAAGUUUUUAUAAAGAUCAGUACAUAGUUUGAACAAAACCACAUUUAUGUUCUUGUUGUCUGGUUUUAUUUUUUCCUUUUUUUGGGGAUCAAUCAAAAAUUUCAUCUCUCUCUUUCAAUUUUCUCUCAUCAACCAUCUGCUGCAAGUGAGGCAGGAACAGCUCCUCUCCCAUGGUACCUUUUCUAUCCCAUCCUCUCCUUUUUAACUAACAACCAUCAAGCCUCAUCCCAAAUAUUUGGGGUUGAAAUUAUGUAUCCUCACUCACCUAUUAUUUCUGUUUAGGGCUAUUGUUACCUAGAUACUAAUGCCUGGUAGAUUGUCCCAUAUGAGAAUUCUUCUUGCAAUAGACAGGUCCUCAAAUAUAGUGAUAACUACAAUCAUUCAGCCUUGUCCCAACUAUUUGGGUUCAAUUAAGUGGGUCCUCAUUGCCAAACAUUCUAUGGCCACUUCUAAUGUUAUUUCAAGCUUUUCCAUAUUCUUUCUGACCACCUGUGCAACUCUCCAGUUCUAUCACUCCUUUCCCUACAUCCUUAAAAACAAAGUACCCCUUCCCACUGGAGUCUUUUCUUUGUGUGUGCUCAUACAUUCUUCAUCAGUAACUUUCUUUUUAUCCAUUUUGUCUUCAUAUUCACUCUUCCCCUCAUCCCUGUUUCCAUGAAUGCAUCAUUACAAUCACCGGUGUGUUGAACCAAGGUGUUUUCUUCUAUUUGCAGCUAUUAUUCAUCCAAGAUUUUCACCUCAGCUGAAAAUCAGUUGGUAAAUGCAUCAGGCUCCCAACAAUGUGCGACAUUUAGGUAGAUCUUGAUUCACUCUAUGUACCAUUUAUUCUCUCUUCCUCAUGCAUCUUCCUUCCAUACUUUCUUCUUCUGCUUGCCGUCCUUAAUAUUUUUCUUCCAAAUCUCCCAGUAAUCGGCCACCCAAACAGGUCUAACCAGUGACAAAUAACUACACCAAAGACUUACAACCCAUAACUGUCAUUAAAUCUCUGAUCCUCAUCCUCCAUUAUCCUCCACAAUAAAUCACGUUUCUGAGUCAAAACUUGCAAGAAGUUGUAGUUUUCCCAUUUCUUCAAGCUCUAUUAUCAUAAUGAACUCCAAUAUUUAAAACCACAACCUAAAAUACCUCAUAUUGGACCGCCAUGUCUUAUUCCAGGAAAACACUUAGAAUCUGUGCAUAGUGGAACAAAAAAGCAUCUAAGGACAUCUCCUGUUCUACAAUAUUUCAAACUUAUCAAACAUAAAUACUGCUUUUCUCUUUUCCUUGCUUCUGUUAUUAGUUCGUUCAUAUGUCUGAAUAACAAGCUAAUUUGUGUCCUACAAGUAAAACCACCUAUAGGGAAUCAUAUCAAGUCACUGUUGAGUUUGGGUUUUUAUUCUAAUACAUAAAAUCUCGCAUUUGAGGGGUUUUGUAAGUGGGUUGAGAGGCCUUGAAUGGAUAACUAUGACCUCGAAUGAAAUUUGAAGCUAGCAUCAAUGAUUAUAAUCUUGCACAAGAAAAAAAAAUUGUGUUUGGUGGAUCUUCUUGAAAUUACAUGAAAGACUACAGAGCAGAUGGAAUGUUUUGAAUACAUACAAGGAGACAGAAUAUGCAAUUCCAAAAGCAGUGGUGCAGCACGAGUUAGAGAAAGUGUGAAAUCAAAUAUAGAGUUUUUUUCAUUUAUUAAGUUUUAUACGUAUGGAAUGGAUUUCAGUUUCAUAAAGACAAGAACACUGCUUGAAUUAGACCUUCCAAAUUUAUGGCAAAUUAGAUUUAGAUGGGCAUUAAUUAUGCCGAUAUAAGGUAUGAGAGGGUAAACAAGGUAGUAAAUAUAUUCAUGCCUUUGCAUUUUUUGGAAGGUAUAACCGUAAAUUUGCAUGAUAAACACACAUUUUCUGGCAAAGUUCAUGAAGAAGGCUAGACAUAACCUCCCUGGAAAGUUAUAACAGUUCUAGAAUAGGUCAUGGCAGGAUCCAAAAUAUGAAAGAUUACAUACAGGUGGUGUAGCUCCAUAGGGACCAGAUCCAGUUUGGGCAGCAUCAAGCUGUUGCUCCCGCCGCUUUCUUUCAGCUGCAUUGUAUCACCACCAGAAAAAAAUGUAAGCAAUGUUUCCUAUAAAAAUAAUGCAAAUUAAGCAGAAACACAUAUAUCUACUACAACAGAUUCUUUACAGUUUUGAUAGGUAAAUUAUGUAAUAUAAAGGCUCAAGAUAGUCAGGCAGAGGUUAAGAUUUAGCCCCUCAUUGUAUAUAUUUAUGAAAUGAUCAAUGUGGUAACUUAGUAUCUGAAAAGCAUUAGUUUAGUCACUUAUCUGCUAGUACAUCAUAUUUGUAUCAAAGAAAACUGAGGUGGCAUUUUCCAAGUUAAAUAAUCAACUGGUAUUAUUUAUUGAUGCUUCGAAAAAUCAAUAACAGCAUCCUGCCAAUAAUGCAACAGUUUGUUCAUUCAUUAUUUGCAAUUACCUUUCAAUUAAACACGCCACAGUAUGUUAUUAACUUUUUUUUUGGUAAAACAGUAUGUUAUUAACUUAAAGAACCUCAAAGUUAGCUCAUUUUUUUUUGGCAUACAUAGAAUUUUCUAGAGUUGAAAUUUCUUAAAACAACAAAAAAAAGAUCAUGUCAUUUGAAGAGCAGAUGCUGCAGAUUUUAUGCUUUGAUUGUCAUGAGUUAAAUACAGGGAAAAGAAGUAUUUGAGUAGUUAUGCUCAUACUUGGUAACAUGGAUGGAGAUUGUGAGGAAGGAUAUGGAGAAACUUAGAAUAACAGCAAAAAUGAACCUAAAUAGGACUACCGGACAAACAUGGAUCCAUAAAGCCAAUCUCAAAUAGUUCAGAAAGGCUAGAUGGUUAUGUUUAUGUAGUUAUGUUCAUAUUUUCCGUGAAACGGUUCAUGAAGAAUAGAAGAUCUAAGGAGCCAGAAAUUGAAUCACCAGAUUACAAAACGUAGAUAUAAGCAGUUUUCUUACACAAGAGAUGGAGAGAGAGAACACCAAAACUCAGUCUUACCUCUUUCUUCAUGCCUCUUCCGUCUUUCGCGAGGGACAAAAGUACCAUCAGCUUUUGCUAUUAUAUCUGACUUGGUCUUCGCAUACUGAAUUCUCUGCAUUUAAACAAACCAUCUGUAUCAUUAUCAAGGGAAGAGAAGGUAGCCAUCCAACUAUGGGACAAGAAUGUAAGAGGGGAAAAAAAAGAAAGUAGAACACCAUAUCACAUACACUUUGAAACAGAAAAUAUUUUGGACUGACACACAUGACCUCCAGCAUGCACUAAAGACCAACCUUGCUAUUACAUUUGCACUGGCGGGAGAAAAGAUGAAAAAUUGAGAAACUUGAAUAGCUUUGGGGUUGUAGGAUGUAAGUUGCCAACAUUUUUUUCAUCAUACAAUAUGCCACUUAAGAACUUAUUUUCAAAUGCUAAUUGCCAUGUCAUCUCAACAUUCAAUUUCCCGAUUUGUAAAAUGCUGACAUGUCUGGACAUUUGACACCACAUGACACAACAUGAAACUCAUUGGAAAAUCCAGAAUGGAGUCCAUAUGUUAGGUAGAAGUGUGGAUAUAUUCAACCAGCUACUGAACUGUCCCAUUAAAAGACAUUUUUGUACAGGUUAUCACAUAAGUUCAUGACCAUUUCAACUGUUAAACAACAUAUGCAUAAAAGAUCCAAGAAUCAUUCUUACAUGUGAGAUCCAUUUCUUCUAAUGAUGAAUACUAUAUAGUGCCAUGAUUAAAAUUUUGUUCAAAACUCCAAAAUAAAAAAAUCAGAAGUUUCAGUUUCAGCACAAACCUGAUAUGAAACUGGGGUGAAUUACUAUCUUAUGUCACCAAAUAUAAUGUAUACAAUUUUUUUGUUGUUUUAAUUCUAGUCAUAUGCAUAUUCUCAUUUCUUUAAAUUUGGUGUUUGUUCUCUAGCGAAAACUUGAAUACUGCAAGUUUAUGAAAAACUAGAAGCACUGGAACGCAGACUUCAAAAACCAUUUCGAGGAAAAGUACAUUUUCUGACAAAGGUUUUGCUAUCAUAGAUCUAUAAUUUCACAAACAUUUCUCCUAUCAUAUGUUAGACUGCAAAUGUUGAUACAGUACACUCCAAACAUGACUUUCUAACAUUUAAUGUUCAAAAAUACUUUUAUUGUUUCAAUGGGAAACUACCAUAAAAGAAUUACAUCUAAAGGAAUUAAAUACAUUAUAUAUUUUGAGAUGAUGUUAAAUUUGUUACUCUUGACAGAUUUCAUUUUUUAAACUAUUUCUUAUUAUACCUUAAUUUUGACUGAUAUUUCCAGAUUUCUUUAUGAUCUCCAAAACUGCUGAAACCACAAUUCAAAUAACAAUUAUCAUGAAACUAAAUGGUAGUUUAUGGUAUAUCUUGCAAAGGGAGUUUUAUAGUUUGGAAACAGUCCAAAAGUACUUUCUUGACAGAUGUGCAGACCGGUUUGCUUGCAAAAAUUAUGAGGACUAUUUCUAUGUUCUCCAUCUACUGCUUUCACAUAACAAGCAAAAAAUUUUCAUGCCUAACAGCCAACCUAUAUAUCCUAAUUUUUGAUCUUGUAUCCUUACAAGAACACCAGUUCCUGACACCACAACUUGAUCUUCAUCAAGUCUUUACCCAAGUUUAGCAUGAUUUCUUCCCCACUAUUUCUGUAACAAUAGUAGAGCCAUCAUGAUCAUUAGAAUGGUGAUGUGUUUCUCAUCCACAACCCAAUAAAACCACCAACUGAAUUAUCUUGUAACUAUCAUUUGUUCACUCCCCUUAUUAUCUUCUUACAUGGGUAAGACAGAAGGUAGAAAUACAACUGCCACCUGAGCUAUGAUCACAUGAUUCCUCAAGCAUCUGCUAGCAGAAAUGAUCUUUUUUCUCUUUGCCUAUGGGCUUUUUAUCAAAAAAAAAAGAAGGAAACUCUGCCAAGAUUAGUAACAAAGAAUAAAUGAAAUGAAAGGGGCAACAAGAUGAAAUUUCAAGGACUGAACAAAUACCAAAAAUUCAAACCUGGAUUACAAAUAAAACUUUAUAACUUGAUAAAAGAGAGAAAUUAAGGGAAACAUAUACAAGUUUUUAUCCGUAACUAACUAAAGCACCCAUUAGAUGCAUAAUUCCAGCCUAAUGGACAAAAUUAUGAAAAAUAAGUCUCCUGCAAGUAACAAUCAGUAAUUUUCCUAAGCAUAAAAACUGAAACACAGAACUUCUAAAUACAUCAAAUCUAGGUACUGCAUGCUUUUUUGCACACUAAUGCAACCAACCAUGGAACCUAAUCAAUAAGCUCAUAAAUGCUGUCAGGACAACUUAACCAUUCUUUUUUUUUUUUAAAAGGAUAGGGAAAGAUAGACUUCCCUUAAUCCUGAGGUUGACAUCACUGAAAUAAUAGCUACUGAGGUUGACAUCACUCAAACAAUAGGUAGAAGAAGAAAAACAUUUGUUUCAUAUGAAUCUCUCCUCUCACACACGUACACUCACAGUCCCAUACAAAUGAAAAUGCAUGCAUGCAAACCCCAAUUUUUCUUUUGAGAAGUCAAAUUUACAUGAAUUUCUAUCAGUGAUUUCCAUUACUGUUAUGUUCAGCAUUAUGUUAGCCUAGUUUCCAUUUAUAAAUUUUGCAUAGAACAACACCAACAAUCUUAAUUCUUAUUCUUUUUUUUUUCCCUUAGAAUUUCUUCUAAUUCUUCCCUUCCAUGCGUUCCAUAAAGUAUCAAAGCAAGUUUCAAAAAUCAAUCUUGUUAUACUUGAGUUUACUAGUGACAGGUGAAAUUACAUUGUGCCCAACCUAGGAAUCACUCCAGUUCUUGAGCACUUCUUCAAGCUUGUCUCUAACCAUUCUAAUAAAUUUUCAAUCAUUUCACAUGGCAAACGUCUACUAUCAAACUUCUAUUCUCUACUCUAAAGCUAGUCUUCCUUUGAAGAAUUGUUCAUCCAAGCUAAUCAACAGCAAUAUCUUAAUUAAAUUGCCCUAAUAGGUCCAAAAAUAUUUAUUGUUAUAUAUCAUCCAAAAGGAAAUUAAAGAAUUACUCAGAUUGAGAAUGUCAUUCGUCAAACUGACGCCAUAAAACCUAUGCGUUCAUGGUAAUUAUGCUGCUAAAAUAUGUCCACAGAUACUUUUGUUUGAUCAUCCAUAAGGAAAUCAGUAAAUAACUUUGAUUGAGAAUGGCACAUGCCCAACUGACAAUGUACAAUUAUAUCAUCCAACCAAAUACCCAAAAUGCAGCCCAAAAGAAUUAUGCAAAAAUGCCAAGCUCCCCAAGCCUUGAGCACCAUCUGAUGCUUCUACAGUCUCAAAGCAGUUCAGAAUUGAAUCACACUGUUGGACUCUAUAAUUGUAACAACCAAAGCCUCGUCCACGCUAUUACUGGUUGGCAUGUAAAUCCUUGUAUAUAAUAUUAUAACCUUCUUAUUCCUAUCUUCCUCUAGAUAAUGUUACAAAAGAAAAAGAGACAAUAUGGUAUAAUUAAAAAAAUUGUUAAUAUCCCACCUUCAUAACUUGUACCUGAAAUUACCAAACAAGAAAUUACAUGAACAACAUAAGGGGCGUUGUCCUCCAAAAGUAGCAUCCAUUUUGGUCACUUACGUGAGAUGCAAGAGUAAUUUGUGAUAAACUAAAUUGUGACAAAAGUUCAGAAAUACAUGCAUAAACAGUACAAUCACGACUUAUCUACCACCAAAAGGACUCUUAGUAUGAGGUUUUCCUUAGAGCAAUUUUUUGAUAAACACCAGGAAAUGAAUAAUCAAUGCUUAAUGGUGUUUUAUUCUGAAAACAAAAUUACACCAGACUUCAGUUGUCAAGUGUGGCCAAUUUUGUAGAAGAACAAUCACUAAUCUCUUAAUGUAGCAUCAAUUUAUAGCAAAACACCAACACUAGUUUCCUAGUCAAAGUUUGCCGUACCGAUUGCUAUCAUACCAUAACGGACCUACCAUACCAUACCAAUACCGUAGUGGUACGAUACCGUACCGACACUUGACACACCCCGCCAUCUCAUACCAUACCACGUACUGUCACUGUAAUAGGAUGAUACAAGUACAGGGUACAGUACCCGGAUGGCGAACCUUGUUCCCAGUCAUUACAAUCAUGCAUUAAAAACUAUACGUUAAAAAGAUCCACCAUGGUUCCAACAAAGCACAACCAACUCAACAUGACUAUAAAAGCAUGAUGUGAGGAAUAGCUAUUAGGCAUAUGAUGAUGCCCUAAUUUAAAAAUUCAAAAUUUGCUACAAAAGCUCUAAAACGUUUCUUUAUAAAGAUUAUAAUUGGGGUUAAAAGGCCUAGACAUUUACCAUGGGCUUGUCAUAGAAUGGAAAUCCUUGCAUCCGUUUGAGUGCCUCAGAUGCUGAUGAAACAUCCUUAAAGACAACCCAUGCCUGUCCUUUAUGUUUCAGCGUCUUAAAAGCAAGCACCUCCAAUAUCUUCCCAAAUUGUGAAAAAACAGCAUGCAGGGAUUUUUUAAGUUCUGUUUAACAAGACAUUGAUAUUAGCCAAAUAAAAUCAAGUCAAGUAAAUAGAAGGAAAAGCUCCAAGGGAACAAGAGGAAAUAAAUCCGUAAGCAACAUAGAGAAAGUGAAACAUCAAACAACUAUCAAUGACUCAAAAUAGACAACCACUUCCCGAUAUUGAAUCACAGAUAAGUAUUCCUAAGAGAUAGUACCAUAGUUCACCACACUGGUACUCAAAGGGCCCAAAAUGGACAACAGCUCUCUGGUUUUUGGUCAUUUUGAUCUAGAUUUUCUAUAGCAGGUGUUCAGGUCAGAUGUCUGAUCAGGUAAAUAGCUUAACAGAGACAAAAAAAAAGAGGAGGUUUAAGAACUAUUGUGGGAGGAUUCAAUGUUUUGGGACUUGCACAGGUCCACAGUUAAUGUUAGAGGCUUUAUGCAGGCUGCUAUGGACUUCUUGAGAGACCUGAAAAAAAUCUGAAUGAGAUAAAACAAGACUGAGAAGCAUAGAAGAAGAGAUGAUAAUGGAGAGAGUUAGUUCAGGAAGUCAAAUCUUAAUUAUCCUCUGAAAUAGAUCCAACUAAUAGAUCCUAGUGGGAAUGGAUCCAACUUAGGAGGUCGAUGGUUCGUACAAGUUAGAUUUCUUUAAAAACUUGCACCUAAAUGAUUGCUAAGCUUGAAGAACAUUAGGCAUAACAAAUGCCUCCGCAUGGUGCAAAUACAAACAUAACACAUCAUCUACUUUAAAUAUCCAUCAUAACAAUCCAUGGAAAAGGAUGACCAGAAUAUUUGGCUUUCCAAUGCUUGCACGAGUUUCUUGAGUCAAAUUCCUAUGCUCCUUAACAGUUAGCAGAACAAAUAAAUACAACAAAAUCUAGGAGAGAGAACAUAUGAAAGGUGUACAGGCAAAGAAGCAAGAAACUAUGGCAAGCCUGUUAGGAUGGUUAGAUUGUGAAAAUUUUAGCUUCUUUUUAUUACUGCUUCAAAAUUAAGGUGAAGAUGCAUCAAAAUAUGAGUAAAGAGGUUAAUAUUCAGUCAUAGAUGAUGUCCAUAAAGUGGAAAGGAAGCCCCAAAUAUCAAAUUCCACAAUGAAUUAGGCAGACAAAAUCUAAAGGCCUGGGGAUACAUAAUGUUAAUGCAUAACACUUCUUAUCUGCUAUUUGCUGAUUCUUGGCCAAAUCAAAUACUGCCACAAUCCUCCUCUGAUGUUGCUUAUUGCUACUAAACAAUAUUGGGAAUCUGAGAUACAGACAAGGCACCUUUUAGCUUGUCAACCGUAGGGGCAGGUUUCAACUCACUGUAUAAUUUUAUUGACCUUAUGAUGUAAGCAUGUCCAACUAUAUUUGUUGAUAGGAACUGAACUGAAGUCUUCUUGCCCAAAGAAGAGGAACAGUUACAAUAAUCAAUGUUUACUUCAUCAACUCCAAUGCUCUUCACUUCUUUGUAUAAGUUCUUUAUUAUUACAAUAAAUACAAGCAUUUCAGAGUCCAUUGUUACACCAACCAUUCAAUUUUAUUAUUGGCAUCCCCCUCCCAUCCUGUUUCCAUAAAUUAGUUACAGUCAGGAUGGUAGCCAUGAAAUUCUCCAAACAGCUGUAACCUUUUCAAAUUAUUAUCUUUUUCAUUAAAAUUUUAUAAUUGUAAGAUUCGGUUAUGCCUUUUUUUUUUCUUCAAAAAUGAAACUCCGUUAAAUUUUGGCGAAAUAUUUGAGUUCCAAAAUGUUCAUUAUUUUCUUACUUCCAUUUCCAGUACUAAAGAGUAAUACACUACAUCUAAUUAAAGGUCAGAGAAAAGCAAGAAAUUUUCUCUGCAGUCAGGCUAGUACAUCAAAACAUGGUAGAAAUGCUACAGAAACUUUCAGUCAUAAGCCUGGCACAAACGUACCCCUUUUCCAAUGUAGCAUACUAGUAAGCAAUUCUCCCACAACACAUGAAGACAAGUCAUAUAAGAACAGUCUAAUUCACACAAGCAGAUCUUGAAACCUAAAACCAUACCUCUAAAUGCAGUUGAUAAUCUUUCAGCACAUGGAACAUCCUAUUUCUCAAAGACCAUCAGCCACACGAAUUCUGCCAAAACCCCAAGUCAAACAAACACCUAUACCUUAUGAGGUACCCUAAAUUACCGAGUUAUUGAACAAAUCCAGUCUACAAAAAACAUAAUGUCCAAAUUUGACAUCAUUCUUCCUUUCACAUAACCCCAUCUUAUAUUACUCAGAUUCAGAGUCAGUUUCAAGGCUCAUUCCCAAAUCCAUGUCAAGUUAGCAAUCACCAAACUAAUCAAGAUCAAGACUCUAUGAUUAAAUUGGAAAAUUAUAGACCAGGUAAAGCAGUUCAUGUAUUCAGCAGACCAUCACCAACACUGAGGUAUUCAGCUUGGAAGAAAAGAAAAGGUAAUAACAUAUUUUUUGCAACAGGCAUUUCUCAACGAGUCCAUAAGAAGGGAUCCUUUGUUUUCAUCAAGUUCGGAUGAAGACCAAAGAUCUCGAGCAACCGAUCUGGCAACACAACCCAAAAGAUAAAGAAGUAUCAUUAAUUUGUCUGCCCAUUCCAGGUUCAAAGAACCAUUUGCACAAAUAAGAAUACCCUUCUUUACAUGAUAUCUUCUUCAUAUAAAUGGAUAUAGGAUCCACAGGACAAUUAUUUAGAAGUACAUUUUGUGCAGCAGCCCUCCCUAUCUGAUAGAAAAGGAUCCCAUGUUCCUGAAUCGCUCUUACAUAGGAUCGCAGAUCCCAAGUUUGUCUAUAAAGAGCUGAUUUAAUUAUAUUAGUUUCCAUAAGUGAUUUCUUCUUGUAAUGCUAAUUAAUAGGGCCUUCUUGAAAACUGCUACAAGAUCCCGUGCAUUGGAUUACAUGGUUAUGGUUCUGGACCCGAACACGUUAGCAUGGAACAUUUUCCUAGAUCCAAAGAAUUGAUGAAAUAUCAUUUGGUCAAAGAUUAUAAUUCCAUAGCUGAACGAUAGAGAAGUAAAACAAAACAAUAAGGGCAUACAUAAAACCUAGGUUUUUCUCGAUAUACCAAAGACAGAGAAGUAACAAAAGGAUAUGAUCACAUAAACUCUAAUCUUGUGUUGAGGGUUUAGGGUUUAAGCAAAUGGAUUCUUGCAUCGCCUCAAGAAAAGGAGAAAGAAAAGGGGGAGAGAAUUUACCAUCCAUUUUGAUCUUCUCGUUGAGGUUGUUGAUGUAGAUGGUCAUGUUGGGUGGAAUCGUCGAAGCGUCAUCACCACCGGUGCUCAUCUUUUACCUCGCAAGCGAGAGCGGGGAGGGAAGUGAGAGAGAUACCGAGAAACAGGGAGGCGGAGAGCGAAUUCUUGCAAAGGAGUCCUCUUGCUUCUCUGAUUCGCGGCC